UUUGACCUCAAAUCAGGCCAGACUACCCGCUGAACUUAAGCAUAUCAAUAAGCGGAGGAAAAGAAACCAACC
rnacentral:rRNA from 1 species